rnacentral:rRNA from 1 species
UACGUAGGGAGCAAGCGUUGUCCGGAAUCAUUGGGCGUAAAGCGCGCGUAGGUGGCCCUGUAAGUCCGUUGUGAAAGUCAAAGGCUCAACCUUUGAAAGCCGAUGGAUACUGCAGGACUAGAGUACGGAAGAGGCGAGUGGAAUUCCUGGUGUAGCGGUGGAAUGCGCAGAUAUCAGGAGGAACACCAAUAGCGAAGGCAGCUCGCUGGGACGUUACUGACACUGAGGCGCGAAAGCGUGGGGGAGCGAACAGG